ensembl:lncRNA
UGCUGCUCUGGAAGAGACAAACUCCACUCAGAGAAACAGUGUCUGUUUGUAGACACAUGUUAUUCAGAAGCAGCUCCCUCAUGUGAGCAGCACUGCAGUGACUAGUCUUUAGUAGGAGGGAUAUCAGGUUUGCAGCAGCCAGCAGGUGGAAGUGUGCCUGCAACGAAGGGAGUCAGUAGGCAGGCUGAGUGGGAGCUCUCCAUGGUAGUGAUGGUUUCCAGCAAUUUCACAACACAUAACCAUGGUCUGAAGGUCUGCUUUACAAACUCAUAAAGGAGCAUCAAAUCCCAUUACAGGCUACCCCAGGUGGAACAGCUUGAGUGUCCCUGAUUUCAGCUUCAGGCUUGAAAGUGAGAAGACAGAAGAACUGAGAGUUUCUACAAGACGACAAUACCUGGACGCAGGGAUAUUUGGACACCUCACAAUGGAUGGAUUGAGGACAAAGUGUUGAGUUCUCCUACGGCUGUCCCUGAAUGAUACAGAGGAGUGUUGGGAUGUCGUGGCUGGUGUGGGUGUGGGUCAGUGUGACAGUCCUGCUGAUGUGUGAGGCUACUUUCUAUGAGACCAUCCAGCAGCACCUGGCCCCACCCGGAACCAACAUACAGAUCCUCGGUGAGUCCUUCCUUCUCUUCAUCUCCUGUCUCAUCGUUCACUCUGACAUCAGCAUGAUUUAUCCAUCUCAAUCUGAAAGUCCACACAACCAAAGAUUUCAUGCAUCAAAAGAACACAAAGAGAUUGUAAAAGUAUAUAAAUCGAGCAGUUUAAUACAAAUCUUCUAAAGAGAUACAAUCGCUUUAUAUAUUGAAGAGAUUUAAUUGAUGCUCAUACAUAUAGUAUAGCACAUUGAUGUGCC